UAGGGAAUCUUCCACAAUGGACGCAAGUCUGAUGGAGCAACGCCGCGUGAGUGAAGAAGGUUUUCGGAUCGUAAAGCUCUGUCGUUGGUGAAGAAGGAUAGAGGCAGUAACUGGUCUUUAUUUGACGGUAAUCAACCAGCAAGUCACGGCUAACUACGUGCCAGCAGCCGCGGUAAUACGUAGGUGGCAAGCGUUGUCCGGAUUUAUUGGGCGUAAAGCGAGCGCAGGCGGAAGGAUAAGUAUGAUGUGAAAGCCCACGGCUCAACCGUGGAGCGGAAUGGGAAACUGAAAGUAUUGAGUGAGGACGAGGAAGGGGGAAGUCCAUGUGUAGGGGUGGAAUGCGUAGAUAUAUAGAAGAAGAACAAUGGCGGAGGCGGCGCUCUGGUCUGCAACUGACGCUGACGCUCGAAAGCAUGAGUGGCGAGCAGG
rnacentral:rRNA from 1 species